GUAUAAAAAAUAAUCACUCGUAUAUACUCAGAGAUAUGGUCUGAGAGUCUCUACCAAAAUACCGUAAAUAUUUUGACUAUGAGUGGAAUUAUUAUA
rnacentral:ncRNA from 1 species